rnacentral:rRNA from 1 species
AUUGAACGCUGGCGGCAGGCCUAACACAUGCAAGUCGAGCGAGCGGCGGACGGGUGAGUAAUGUAUGGGGACUGCCCGAUAGAGGGGGCUAAAUACUGGAAACGGUAGCUACUACCGCAUACUAUCGGAUAACCCAUAUGGGAUUAGCUAGUAGGUGAGGUAAUGGCUCACCUAGGCGACGAUCCCUAGCUGGUCUGAGAGGGUGAUCAGACACACUGGGACUGAGAAACGGCCCAGACUCGUACGGAGGCAGAAGUGGGGAAGAAUGCACAAUGGGCGAAAGCCUGAUGCAGCCAGGCCGCGUGUAUGAAGAAGGCCCUAGGGUUGUAAAGUACUUUCAGGCGGGAGGCGUUACCGACAGAAGAAGCACCGGCUAACUCCGUGCCAGCAGCCGCGGUAAUAC